AGAGGUAUUCGCACUUGGCCUAAAUCUGACGUAGCUUUUCGUAGGUGGCAUGCUCGUCUUGUAGGUCAUGGUCCUACUAAGGCACUUUUUGAUAGCGCUAGGAUUUCUGAUUUGUUGGAAGUCUCUAUUCGCCCCCUACUUUUGAUUCAGCACUCUUUCCGAUUGCUUUGAUUUUUUGGUCCUCUGAGUAUAACACCUUUAUUUUUCCUCUUGGCCCCAUGUCUAUUACGUUAAGGGAUGUUGGGGCCCUGGUGAAUCUACC
rnacentral:lncRNA from 1 species